AGACCACGAGCUCUCCCCGAACCGUUGAGGGAGUGUGGAAAUGAGGACCGCUGUGGGUAAGGGAGGAAGGAGGUGGAAUGUGCGCCCUGACAACAGUGAUUUACGUUACUCAAAGUCAACAUUUUCAUUUCGGCAUGACUCUGCAGCCAUACUGACCAGACAGAUGAUUUAAACUGGAAACUCUGUUGAAUGUACUCCCAAACCCAAGAUCUCUAUACUGUUCUCUACUUCAGAUGUUCCUGAGUUCAGAAAAGUCACAAAGAACUUUCUAUCACUUUUGGAAUUUAUACUUCAGUUGUGUAUGGGGCCUAGGUUAUUAGUAGAGCACUGAAUAAAUAAAAU
rnacentral:lncRNA from 1 species